rnacentral:rRNA from 1 species
GACAGAGGGUGCAAACGUUGUUCGGAAUUACUGGGCGUAAAGCGCGUGUAGGCUGCUCUGCAAGUCGGGUGUGAAAGCCCUGGGCUCAACCUAGGAAGUGCACUCGAAACUGCAGAGCUUGAGUCCUGGAGAGGAUAGCGGAAUUCUCGGUGUAGAGGUGAAAUUCGUAGAUAUCGAGAGGAACACCGGUGGCGAAGGCGGCUAUCUGGACAGUGACUGACGCUGAGACGCGAAAGCGUGGGGAGCAAACAGG